CAACUCGCCUGCAUGAAGUCGGAAUUGCUAGUAAUCGCAGAUCAGCAUGCUGCGGUGAAUACGUUCCCGGGCCUUGUACACACCGCCCGUCACACCAUGGGAGUCGGUAACACCCGAAGUCGGUAGCCUAACCGUAAGGAGGGCGCCGCCGAAGGUGGGAUUGAUGACUGGGGUGAAGUCGUAACAAGGUACC
rnacentral:rRNA from 1 species